CUCCAUUCCAAAAACCACGAGAUCAUGACCUGAGCUGAAACCAAAAGUCGGACGUUCAACCAAGUGAGCCACCCAGGUGCCUGCUGGGCCCUGUCCUUCCGAAGGCAGGACCCAGAAUCACAAAGGCUGAAGAGAGUGAGGAGCAAGAUGAGGGAGACCAGAAGAGGGGCGACUCUUUGAAUUAGCACCAGAAGGAGGAGAAGGGAAGGAGAUAGCGUGUUGGCAGUUGCCCAAAACACGGGUCUGAAAAACCAGGACAGCGGUUUCCAGGAUCUGUGUCUUUCUCACCGACUGCUACCCCUGCUUUGGAGCCACUGGGAUGAAACGAAGGUCAAGUUCUGCUCUUGCUGUACCGUCUGGCGGCUGAGACUAUGAAAGCCACGCUCCCAGGGGAAUUUCCAUUCAGCACCAGGGAACUUUUGUUUUCCUGCAGAUAAGGAAUGUGGCAACCAGCACCCGGAAUCCUAAUAAAAGAGCAAGCCAAGCUACGCUGGUGAGAAAGGGAACUAAAAAAUAACAUCCAAAAUCUAAGAAAAAGAGGCGCCUGGGUGGCUCAAGUCCGUUCAGCGUCCGGCUUCAGCUCAGGUCAUGAUCGCGUGGCUCGUCUGUUCGAGCCCCACG